UACGGGGGGGGCAAGCGUUGUUCGGAAUUACUGGGCGUAAAGGGCGCGUAGGCGGCCUGCUAAGUCACACGUGAAAUCCCUCGGCUCAACCGGGGAACUGCGUGUGAUACUGGCGGGCUUGAAUUCGGGAGAGGGAUGUGGAAUUCCAGGUGUAGCGGUGAAAUGCGUAGAUAUCAGGAGGAACACCGGUGGCGAAGGCGGGUCUCUGGGCCGAUACUGACGCUGAGGAGCGAAAGCGUGGGGAGCGAACAGG
rnacentral:rRNA from 1 species